CAAGAGUUUCAGAGGGUGAUAAUCAUUCCCAGGGUUUUAGGGCACUCCAGAUGCAACUCCGUUGUCCUUCAUUGCUUUGGCUCACCCAUAACAAAGGUUUGCACCAAGGAGAAGGCACCCAGCACGUCCCAGUGUAAACACAGCCCCAGUUUGGUAGCGCGUCUCCACACCGCCCCUUUACAGCGCGGCGUUUCCCUUGUAGGGUGCGCAGCGGCGGACUCCGCAGAGCCCCGGGGCUUACCUGAAACACGUCGUGAGUUCGCCUGAAGACUUCAAACACGGGUAUUUGGUUGUAGAAAUCUUGUUUUCCGAGCAGAUUUCUCUAUGAGAGAGUUUGGGGGGGGGGGGGGGGGAACGUCAGCAGGAUAGCUAAGGGCAGAGGGAGCCCUGGGAUCUGCGUCCUGGCGCGCCGAGCAGGCGCGGGUCCCCCGAGCGCGUAGCCACCAGCCAGAAGAGGCUCACAACCGGGCGACCUCGGUCCCCAGGGAAGAGGAACGCUGUGGAGGCUGGACGCAGGGAGACGCAGCGCCCCAGCCCACGGACACGGGGAGCCCAGGCUGCUUGCUCCACGGGAGCGGAGGCUCUUCCAUCCAAAGGAUCCAAGAAGUCUGCCUUCAAAUGUCCCUUAGGAAUUUCAACAUCAACUUGCCCCAAAUGGAAACCAUUAACUCCUCACCCCAACUCCUUCCUCCAUAUUCUGACCUUUAAGUAAAAGAGGUACAACCGAUGGUCUGUAUGGACUAGAGCUGUAGCUACCCUCUGAAAUCUUCCCACCGAAAUAGCAAUAGUCCCACUCUCCUGAACUGUAGCACAUUGAAUACUCUCAAUACUAAGGAUACCUGUGUUCUUCCUAAAAAUCCAAUAAAAUUACGUUACAAUAAAAGGAUUAAAAAAAAAAAGUAUGAACGAUCAAGGACAAAUCCACCAUGGAGAGAGGACAACUACACAACCUCAGAAGACGGAAAGUAGAAACUAGUUUGACCAACUAAAGAAACCUUGAACCCAGGCUGGCAAUGGGAAAAACCCAGAACAUGUUGAUUAACAAGGAUGAACCCCAGAAGAGCUCAAGAAGGAAGGCGCCAGGCACCCCUUGAAGACACAGUCGAAUAAAUCACAUUUCAGACAAUGGGAGGUCUCAUUAGCACAGCCUUCUGGCUCAUGCUUUCUGUUGGAAAGCGUGGAGAGACUGUGCUCCACCAAAGCAAAAGAGGAAGCCAAAAACUGACGACCUGGGAUUUAAUGAAGGAGGGAAGCUCAGGGCUUGGGGCGUCCUGAGCUGUUGAUGAAGGAAUGAAUAUCCCAGCACUUGGAAGUCAAAGAAUUUGCUUGAAAUCACACGACUCAUCUAGUGAGUGUUGAAGCUAGGAAACCAAACCCAGGCAUGUUGGAUGCGAAGGCCACAACGGAACAUUUCUGUAAUUGUGGAAUUCUAGGCUGGAGGAUGCCUACUGCAGAUAGAAACAGCUCCAAGACACAAGCUUACAAUGAGAAUGAAAGGAGAUAGCGCCCAAUUCAGUGCCUAGCACACGGGAACCUAGCUAUUGCUGUCUUCUAGUUAAAAAUAUACACCGUAAUUGUUGCCUCUACCAAAUGUUCUGUAAAGGAUUAGUAUUUUAGCUGGACCUGGAAAGGUAAUAAUUUUGGUGGUCGGUAUCCUAGUCAGCUUGGGAGACUAUAACAAAAUCCCAUGGACUCAGUGACAUAAACAACAGAUAGCCACUUCUCAUAGUUCUGAAGUCUGGGAUAUGCAGGACCAACGUUUUGGCAUGUUCAGUUCCUGGUGGGGGUUUCUCUUCCCGCUAUCCAGAUGGCCACCUUCUCACUGUGUCCUCACAUGGCAGAAAAAGAGAGAGAGAGGAGAGAGAGAGAGAGAGAGAGAGAGAGAGAGAGAGAGAGAGAGAGAAAGAUACACAGACAGACUAACCCCAUCUUGGGAAUCCCAACCUCAUGACCUCAUCUAUGCCUAAUCGCCCACCUCCAAAUAUGGUAGCACCCCUCAUCCAUGAGGGAUAUAUUCUAAGACCUCCAAUUGGUACCUAAAUCCAAGGACAGUACUGAACUAUAUGCAUAUUCUGUUUUUCCAAUACAUAGAUAUCUAUAAUAAAAAUUUAAUUUAUAAAUUAGGCAGAGUAAGAGAUUAACAAUAACUAAUAAUAAAGUAAUACUAUAUUGUAAUGUAAA